CUACGGAGGAUCCGAGCGUUAUCCGGAUUUAUUGGGUUUAAAGGGUGCGUAGGUGGUUUGAUAAGUCAGCGGUGAAAGUUUGCAGCUUAACUGUAAAAAUGCCGUUGAAACUGUCGGACUUGAGUGUAAAUGAGGUAGGCGGAAUGCGUGGUGUAGCGGUGAAAUGCAUAGAUAUCACGCAGAACUCCGAUUGCGAAGGCAGCUUACUAAGCUACAACUGACACUGAAGCACGAAAGCGUGGGGAUCGAACAGGAUUAGAUACCCUGGUAGUCCACGCAGUAAACGAUGAUUACUAGCUGUUUGCGAUACACAGUAAGCGGCACAGCGAAAGCGUUAAGUAAUCCACCUGGGGAGUACGCCGGCAACGGUGAAACUCAAAGGAAUUGGCGGGG
rnacentral:rRNA from 1 species